AGCUAUUACAACACUUUUAGAAUUUCUCUAGCAGGUUUUCUGAUUUUUGUUAAAAAGAGCUAUC